rnacentral:rRNA from 1 species
ACGCUCGACACCUACGGGAGACAGCAGUGGGGAAUAUUGCACAAUGGGGGAAACCCUGAUGCAGCAACGCCGCGUGAAGGAAGACGGUUUUCGGAUUGUAAACUUCUGUUCUUAGUGAAGAUAGUGACGGUAGCUAAGGAGCAAGCCACGGCUAACUACGUGCCAGCAGCAGCGGUAAUCUGAGCGGGCUGGCAAGGC